rnacentral:lncRNA from 1 species
UCGGGAAAGGCUGGAGGGGUCGGGAAAGGCUGGAGGGGUCGGGAAAAGCUGGAGGGGUCGGGAAAGGCUGGAGGGGUCGGGAAAGCCUGGAGGGGUCGGGAAAGGCUGGAGGGGUCGGGAAAGGGGAGGCCGUGGUCGGUGAUGCCUUCAUCAUGGAAUAUCCACGUGGAGCUACAGGAUCUUAAAAUGGUAGGAUUGUGCCGAGAGAUUAGUCACUUUCACUUUUGUUCUGUUAAACUAUUUAUUCAGUGGCUUGGGAUUUAGUCAAACAUCAAAUAUUUAAGAGAGAAUAGAAUAGGAUUCCAAUAUGUGCUUCUGCGUGUGACUGGCCCAUGGAUUUUGUUGUAUUUAAACGAUUCUGUGAAAGUAUUCAGAAGAGAGCAGGUGGCGGGAGGGAUUUCAGCAGGGAUGAUAUUAAACAUAUCUAUCAGCUGCCAUGCCACUGCAUCGGCCACUCAGAAUGAAUCCAGCUCCCACUGUGGUGGACUCAGGUUGUAAGGAACCAGCGGGGCUCACUUGGUGGCACCAGCUGAGGGAUGAAGGAUGGCAUUGGGGGCUGAGAAGUGCUGGAUGGAGCACCUGGCUGCCAGGACUUAACACAGGCGACAGUGUAGACGUCCAGCGAGACAGCGGAGUGAAGCAUCCAUGGUCUGGCAUGAUCCUGUCUUUCAGCAGCCACAACUGAGGCUUUUCUUUGGAGACAGGGUCUGGCCCUGUCACCCAGGCUGCAGUGCGGUGGCAUGAUCACAGCUCAUUGCAGCCUUGACCUCCUGGGCUCAAGUGAUCCUCCUGCCUCAACCUCAUGAGCAGCUGGGAUCGCAGGCACACACCACCAGGCUUGGCUAAUUUUUUUUUCUUUUUUUUUUUUAGGGAUGAGGUCUCCCUAUGUUGCCCAGGCUGAUCUUGAACUUCUGGGCUCAAGCAAUCCUCCUGCCUCAGCCUCCCAAAGUGUGGGAUUACAGGCAUAAACCACCACGCUUGGCCCUCAAAUGAGUUUUAUAGGAGUCUGUAUUUUGUGCAUCUCCUGGAGAAAUAAUCGAGGGUCAUACAUGGACUUUUAAAGUUGGUUCCUCUCAAACAAUGGCAGCACUUCAAGGAGGGCCCAUUUCUGGGGUUGGUUUUAUUUAGGGCAACAAAUAAUAAAUUUAAUACAAAAAAGAAUUCUCAGGCACGUGCAGAGCAGGUGCUUCUGACGUGAGAAUCAUCUUGGGGUGAGGCAGAUGCAUUGGUGAUUUCACGUUGCCCAAGAGCUGCCAGUGAAAAUACGAAUACGUGGGAGGUUCUUCUGAGGAAGCUCAGUAAGGCAGCGAAGGAGCAGGCAAGGUCCUCAGCAGCAGACGUCUCUCUCCAGGCUGCUUUCCAGUAGCUUCCGAAGAAACCUCUCCUGCACAGGAAAUGGCAGAGAGGGAUGUACUGCAGUUUGCUGCCCUUGGUGGCCACAUGGAGGGUCUCCUGAGGAGAUGGUGGCCACGCAUUAACAGCCGGCUCCUAGGAGCCAGAAUAAAGCCCGCUUCGCUCUCGUACGGGGCCUGCUGGGCAGGGAGCAGCUCAGAGCUGAAUGCCGCAAGGUGUUGUCCUGGGAGCCAGGGUGGCUGCUGUCACGGCCACUGCUGCUGGCCACAGCCACCCUUCACUGUGCAGGAGCUGGGCGAGGGGAGGAAGCCCCAGGACUGGAGGAUCUGCCACAGCUUUUAGGGCAGGCCUCUGCCUGGUGCUCACAUCCCAGCUGGACACGGGGCGCCCAGCAUGGAUUUCUUUCAUAGAAUGAAUGACAGGACAUGUCAUGCGUUGAACUGUGUCCCCUAGAAGGAUGUGUUGACAGCCUCAUCCCGGAGCCUGUGACUCUGACCUUGGUCUUUGCAGUGGCCCCAAGUUCAGAUGAGGUCGUACAGAGGGAAGGUGGUCCUAAUACCAGGACGAUGUCUUUC